AUUUAUUUAUUUAUUUAUUUAUUGAGAUGGAACCUCACUUUGUCACCCAGAAUGGAGUAGAGUGGCAUCAUCUUGGCUCACUGCAACCUCCACCUCCUGGGUUCAAGUGAUUCUCCUGCCUCAGCCUCCUGAGUAGUUGGGAUUACAGGAAUGCACCACCAUGGCUGGCUAAUUUUUAGUAUUUUUAGUAGAGAUAGAGUUUCACCUUAUUGACCAGGUUAGUCUCGAACUCCUGACCUCGUGAUCCACCCAUCUCAGCCUUCUGAAGUGCUGGGAUUACAGGCAUGAGCCACAACAAGCAGCCGUUGAUCAGAAUGCUCAUAUUGAUAAGUGGUAAUUCAAGAGGACAUUUGGCUUCUGGAUGUCAAAAGCUGCAAAAGGAACAUAUUUUGAAGUGCUUUCAAAAUGUUAGUAAUGAAACUCUCUGCCUUUCACCUUCAGCUUGCCACGAAGCCAACUGUAUUAUUCCAACUAACCAACUUCCUACAAGUCUUCACAGCUCACCCACACCCUCAACAAUCAUAAGAACACAACAGAAUAAACAGGAUUCCCAGGAGUGACUUGGUUCUGAAUGACUUGGAAGUCAAAAGGAAGAGUCCGUUUCUCCAGUAACAAAAGUAUGCCUGACAAGAGGCUCUAAGCUGUCCUGGAUGCCAAUCUUUGUGCCGACUACUUUACAGUGAUUGAUUGCUCAUACUUCACGGCAACCCUGUGGAAUAGAUAACAUCAUCAUCCCCCUUUUACUGAGGUGUGGGGAAGUUACCUCUAUUGCCCAUGAUCAUAGUUUAGCUGGCGCUGCUUUAUAAAAGAAUGAAUGAAUAAAUUAAUGAAUGAAUAAGUGUGUUGAGAUUAAUUUCUCAGACAUGGUCUAAAUGGACUCACUUCUCUCUAGUGAGUAUUGUUACCUCUUCAUGAUAAGAUGAAUCAUAGAACUGCCACAUUCUGAAAAGAGCAUGUGAGAAACCAUUCCUUCUUUCUCUGCCCCUCACUCCUUCCAAGUUGCAAGUGUCAGCACCUUUGCUUCAUUUGUGCUGUGCUUUGCAAGCACUCAGGGAGGAAAGGCUGGAGCAGGGAUUUUCCCACAAUCAGACCCUAAAGGCAACUAGAAAAUGCUCCCCACCCUUUUCUUUUUUUUUUUUUCAGGGAACCAGACUGACUGAUAUGAAUGAUGUUUGUUCAGGAAAAGUACUUAAGGAGACAAAAAGUGAUAUAGUUUUUGAAGGAGAGAUGUCUAGGGAGAGAGGGUAGGAAAUUCAGAGGAACUUCUUUUAGCCCUUAGAACAUUACCAGAGUUUUUGUUUGGGCUUUAUUUGUGCAUAUGCUUAUUUGUUUUUUGAGGUUUUUUGUUUGUUUGUUUUGCUUUUUUGAGACAGGGUCUCACUCUGUUGCCCAGACUGGAGUGCAGUGGCACAGUCAUGGCUCACUGCAGCCUCCCGGGCUCAAACAAUCCUCCCACCUCAGAAUCCUGGGUAUCUGAGACCACAGGGAUGUGCCACCAUGCCCAGAUAAUUUUAUUUUUUGUAGAGACCGGGUUUUGUCAUGUUGCCCAGGCUAGUCUUGAACUCCUGGGCUCAAAUGAUACUCUUUCUUAGCCUCAAAGGUGCUGGGAUUACAGGCAUGAGCCACCAGGACCAGCCUGCUUUUUAUUCCCAAAAGGCAGAAUCCAGUGUCUAAGACCUCACACGCUCUAAUUAAGUAAGUGCCAGAAAAGGGCAUUCCUUCCACCUGCACUCAGUAAGCUUUGCUAAGGUUGGUGCUUAAAGAAGACAUGAAAUCAUACUGGGUAGGAGGAUGGGAAGAGAAAUUCAUUACACAAAUGGCUAAUUAUGUAGGAAAUGCAAUGGAGCAAAACUAUCCACCCCCAAACUGGAUCAUGCAUGAUCUUUUGAGGUUAACGAAAGAAAUGCCAUGGCAGAAAUGAUGAAAAUCUGUAAGAAUAAAGUUCUUGAAGCCAAUCUUGUCAUUCUUGCUGCUUUCAUCUCCUUGAAAUUCGGCUUAUUAUUACUAGAAAAAUAUACCACAAGAUGAAGUUAUGUUCCAAAAAGAAAAAAAAAGCAUUGCCUAGAGCAGGAAUAUUAUUUUCCUUUAUGAUAUUUUACAUAUAUGUAGUUAAGUCAGCCCAGCAAUUAAUUAGAUCCAUGCAAAUGUUUGCCCUGUCCUUGUUAAAAGAUGACUGUGAUUUGGUUUUAAAUAUAUUUGUGUAAAAAUAUGUUUUCAUCUUUAACUGUUUAUUUGGAUGGGCUGCUGUGAGCAUCUAGUACACUCCAUGAUUUCCAUUGUGAUGGUGUUAUUACAUAUUGCACAACAAGCAGGUGUUGGUGAUAAUAACAUACUUGAAAGAACACCUAUAGUCUCACAGCAGGCAAGAAUUUGCAAUAGCACUGUAGGAAUAAAUAAGGAAGCCAAGAUGGUAGUUGCUAUCAACACUUGGAUUUGAACACUUGGGUUAAUG
rnacentral:lncRNA from 10 species